UCCUACGGGGGGCAGCAGUGGGGAAUAUUGGGCAAUGGAGGAAACUCUUACCCAGCAAUGCCGCGUGAAUGAAGAAGGUCUUCGGAUUGUAAAGUUCUUUAAUUGGGGACGAAAAAAAUGACGGUACCCAAGGAAUAAGCCCCGGCUAACUACGUGCCAGCAGCCGCGGUAAUACGGAGGAUGCGAGCGUUAUCCGGAUUUAUUGGGUUUAAAGGGUGCGCAGGCGGAGGCACAAGUCAGCGGUAAAAUCGCGGGGCUCAACCCCGCUCCGCCGUUGAAACUGUGUCCCUUGAGUGCGCGAGGGG
rnacentral:rRNA from 1 species